rnacentral:lncRNA from 1 species
CUUGAAUUUGCCAUCUUCAUGCCUCAACCUCCGGAAUCAGAGAUUACCGGCAUGCACCAACAUGCCACUGUAGCAUGUGACUGCUUUUUAAAAAAAAAAAAAAAAAAAAAGCUUUAAAAUUGGACAUAAAUGAUAAAUGCCUUAAAAUAAAUCUUCUGUAUUCAAAUGUGUUGUAACUAGAACAAAAUUAAGUAUUGAUGGCUAAGUGCAGUACAAUGGCCUCAAACCACUUACCAAUCAGCACAUUAUUUUCCCCUUAAAAAAAUAACAGAACAGUUCUCAGAUGAAGGUUCACUUUAGGAGAGGAAAAAAAAUCAAAUCUUAAAAUAUUCUGGAAGUGUUAAGAGUCACGAAGAAAACAUUGUUGUUCUUCAACCCUGACUAUAUUUUAGCCUAUGGGGGCAAAGAGGCUUCCAAAACUAUCACCUGAAAACUCCCAGGGAGUGAUGCCAGGCAAGAAGUAUUCAAGUUUCCUGGAUAACUCUUGUGUGUGGCCAAGCUACAAUCACCUCCACCCAUCAAGUGUCCCCUACCUCCCUUGAAGGAUUAGUAUAAGCAAGUUUCACUUGGAGCAACAUUGACUAUAUGGCAACCACUCCGAUUUCAUUUUGAAUGAUUUACCUAUAAUCUUUUGAUGUAUUCUGAACCAUUUCCUUUAAGUACAUUGAUACAUGUUCCAGUUGGCUCUCUGGCUGCAAGGACUGGAAAGAACUACUGAAAGGCAAAAGGAGUUCACUGCGAGGCUAUCUAGGAAUUGGGAGGAGAAAGGUGGCAGCCGCUGUAGAGGUGAGUUGCUACUCUGUCACCAUCCUGGAACACACAAAAUUUCUCAUCACAUCUCUGCUUCUGUCUCCCCCACAAUUUAGGUUUACCUGUAUGGAACAACUGACCAAGCUGAUGUUUGCAGUCUCAUUAGCUUGUAGGGAGGCUGCCCUUGGAUGAGACGCUCAGCACUGGUCUGCUCUGCUAAGGUGAUGGCCAGGCUCACAGUCACCUAGGCAUCUCGUGGACACGUGGGCAUGGGUUUCUAGGAAGGCAUCAUGAAUAAAUGAGGGCGUACAGCUGACAAUAACUGAUGGUUCCAGUAACCCAGGAGGGUUGCCCAAGGCAUGCAGGGUAGCAUUAGACUGUGCCUUAAAACUUUAAUAAUGCUUGUAAACAUCCAGUUUUUUUAGAAUUUUAUUCUAUCCUAAUGAAGUUUUGAGGGAAACAUUUCAAUCAUGUUUUCCAUGAAAUUAUUCUGUCAAAAUGUUGCUUCUUUUAGAAGCAUGAAUAUCAUUAACCAGUUAGUUCUGCCUUCCCCUGAAGGUGUUAGUUUGGUUGCCAAAUAAUCAUGCUAAUUAUGUGCAAAAUAAAGAUUGAAAGUCAGAUAGUACAGCUGUUCUGCCAACAAUGUUGGUCUCACCAGUUUCAGCUUGUUAUGAAAACUUGCUCACAUUUAAGUCAUGAACUCUUUUUCUCUUUCACCUAAUUGUAAAGAAAGCUGCUACCCCACCUUCUUCCUAUACAAAAAAACCUGACUUUCCCUGCUUUAUUAAAAUUGGUAUCAUAGAUUAUACAUUGUGGAUAUUAAUAUUAGUCCUCAGCCUUCCUUUUGGAGACUAGCCAGCAUCAGUUACACCAGAAAAUGAAAGAUCAUUACUUUACUAGCAGAAUACUAUGCAUUGUUUGUUUUCCUCUCAUUAAAAGUCUGAGUUAAAAUAUAAAAUCCCAGCUCAUAAUAAGCUAAAAGGUUAAAAUAAGGAUGAACAAUUUCAAUUUGUAUUGCAAUUUUUUUCAAAUUGUGCUGUAUUGCUUCUUUAUCAAAUACAUUGUGACAGUUGCUCCAGAAUAACCAUGAACUUGUUUAAAAAGUUGUUAAAAACUUUAGCUCUAGUGACCAAUUAAUAAGAAACAUGGGACACAAAGGAACAUGAUAAAGGACAGGCUAGGCAAAAUCCAGACUGUGAGAAACUCAAGGACAAAUGACCAGGUUUAUUUGACAGCAGAGAUAGACAAGGAAAAGAAGGAUGGAGGGAGAACCAACAAAGAGCAACUUAAGAAGCACAUUAUGGAUGUUGUUUCACUCUUUGAACAAACUGUCAAAAUCAUUUGUGA